rnacentral:rRNA from 1 species
GACAGAGGGUGCAAACGUUGUUCGGAAUUACUGGGCGUAAAGCGCGUGUAGGCGGCUAAGUAAGUCGGGCGUGAAAUCCCACGGCUCAACCGUGGAAGUGCACUCGAAACUGCAUAGCUAGAGUCCUGGAGAGGAAGGUGGAAUGCUUGGUGUAGAGGUGAAAUUCGUAGAUAUCAAGCGGAACACCGGUGGCGAAGGCGGCCUUCUGGACAGUGACUG